ensembl:misc_RNA
CACUUUGGAUUUUUCCUCUAGGUUCAGUGCUAACUUCUAUGAGCUCAUGCCCCUCCUCCUCCCUUUAACUUUCUUGAAGUUGUCCAUUCACUUAAAACAUUGCUUCUGGG